AACGAACGCUGGCGGCAUGCCUAACACAUGCAAGUCGAACGAGACCUUCGGGUCUAGUGGCGCAGGUGUACGUAACGCGUGGGAACCUACACUUAGGUUCGGUAUACCUCACCGAGGGGUGUCCUAAUACAGGAUAAUGUAUUCGGACCAAAGAUUUAUCGCCUUUGGAUGGGCGCGUGUUGGAUUAGCUAGUUGGUAGUGUACAAGCAUAGCAAGGCGACGAUCCAUAGCUGGUCUGAUAGGAUGCUCAGUCACAAUGGGAAUGCGACACGGACUACAACCGGAGGCGAGGGAGCAGUAGGGAAUAUUGGACAAUGGGGGCAAGCCUGAUCCAGCAGUGUGGCGUGAGUGAUGAAGGGCGUAGGGUUGCACAGCUGUUUUUCACGGGACGAGAAUGACAGUAACGGGAGAAGAAGCACCGGCUAACUACGUG
rnacentral:rRNA from 1 species